CAGCAGCCGCGGUAAUACGUAGGUGGCAAGCGUUGUCCGGAAUUAUUGGGCGUAAAGGGCUCGCAGGCGGUUUCUUAAGUCUGAUGUGAAAGCCCCCGGCUCAACCGGGGAGGGUCAUUGGAAACUGGGAAACUUGAGUGCAGAAGAGGAGAGUGGAAUUCCACGUGUAGCGGUGAAAUGCGUAGAGAUGUGGAGGAGCACCAGUGGCGAAGGCGACUCUCUGGUCUGUAACUGACGCUGAGGAGCGAAAGCGUGGGGAGCGAACAGGAUUAGAUACCCGCGUAGUCCCUGUCUCUUAUAC
rnacentral:rRNA from 1 species